ACACUUCCAGGGCAGAGGAGAGAUCAGGAAAAGAAGGUGGCGUCUGCACGCCAAGGCUAACCCUUUCCGCUCCGGAUGUGCUGAUCCCUGUGAGGUUCCCAAAUACCGGAAACUCAACUGCAGAAUCAGUGCUGGUGGGGAACUGAAUUCAAGCCUUCU
rnacentral:snRNA from 1 species